rnacentral:misc_RNA from 1 species
GAUGAAGAACGUAGCGAAUUGCGAUAUGUAAUGUGAAUUGCAGAUUUUCAGUGAAUCAUCGAAUCUUUGAACGCACAUUGCGCCCCUUGGUAUCCCGAGGGGCAUGCCUGUUCGAGCGUCAUUUCACCACUCAAGCCUGGCUUGGUGUUGGGCGACGUCCUCUUUGGGGACGCGCCUCGAAACGCUCGGCGGCGUGGCACCGGCUUUAAGCGUAGCAGAAUCUUUCGCUUUGGAAGUCGGGGCCCCGUCUGCCGGAAGACCUGCUCGCAAGGUUGACCUCGGAUCAGGCAGGGAUACCCGCUGAACUUAAGCAUAUCAAUAAGCGGAGGA